CGGGAUAAGCUUGGGAAACUGGGUCUAAUACCAGAUAGGAGCCAUCUUUAGUGUGGUGGUUGGAAAGUUUUUUCGGUGUAGGAUGAGCUCGCGGCCUAUCAGCUUGUUGGUGGGGUAAUGGCCUACCAAGGCGGCGACGGGUAGCCGGCCUGAGAGGGUGUACGGCCACAUUGGGACUGAGAUACGGCCCAG
rnacentral:rRNA from 1 species